rnacentral:tRNA from 1 species
GUCAGUAUGGCAAAGCGGUCUAAGGCACUGUGUUCAGGUCGCAGUCUCCCCUGGAGGCGUGGGUUCAAAUCCCGCUUCUGUUU